rnacentral:rRNA from 1 species
UACGUAGGGUGCGAGCGUUGUCCGGAAUUACUGGGUGUAAAGCGCGUGUAGGCGGUAGGCCAAGUCUGCUGUGAAAUCGCCCGGCUCAACUGGGCGCGGUCGGUGGAAACUGGUCAACUGGAGGACGGUAGAGGCGAGUGGAAUUCCCGGUGUAGUGGUGAAAUGCGUAGAGAUCGGGAGGAACACCAGUGGCGAAGGCGGCUCGCUGGGCCGGUCCUGACGCUGAGACGCGAAGGCGUGGGGAGCGAACGGG